rnacentral:snRNA from 1 species
AUGCCCUAAACUUAGGAGUACAAAAGUACUGAUUCACCAUGGUGCCAGAGUUCUCGAUGCUUAUGUGGGAUGAAGUUUUGAGCAAGUAAAAGGUUGCCUCUUAGGUGACCCAACUACUUCUGGGGACACCUGGCUUUGUGACCCUCCAG